UACUCUCACACUCUCUGAUCCUUUGGAUUCAGGGAGUGGUGGACUUGGGUGUUUGCUGCUUUCCGGUGGCUCACCUCAAAUGCGUUAGUGCACCUCUUGGUUGGACAUAGUACGGCGUGAUAAGUAUCUUCGCCGGCACCUCGCAAGAGGGUGGCCGAUUGGGAGCUCUGUGCUUUCAAACCGUCUUCGGACAAUCUUGACA
rnacentral:misc_RNA from 1 species